rnacentral:tRNA from 1 species
GUGUAACUCAGUGGUAAAGUAUGUGCUUAGCAAGCACAAGGCCCUGGAUUUGAUCCCUAGCAC